rnacentral:lncRNA from 1 species
UUUAUUUGUUGAUCUUUCCUUUUUGUUCCUAUCUGUCUAGACCUCAGCCAAUCAGAAGGCGCAGGAGGUCACAUGCUGGUUGGAUCAGGCCUAUCAGGAGCUGAUAGAGGGGUGGGACUCCACUGAAGGAGAGAGCUAUGCUGAGAGAUACCAAGUCUUCCACACCUUCAUUGUGUCCUUUAACGAACAGCGGCGGCCUGUAAUGCCGUUACUAACCGCGAUGAAGAGGACUCCUCAUCUCAGUGCAGAGCAGAAAGCUCUCAGACGAGCAUGGGAUGCUCUCGCUGAGAAGCUGCGUGAGUAUAAAACAGAGCUAGACCUGAGUCUCCCACCCCCACUGGACACCGUAGGGCGCUGGUUAUUGCGUAUUGAAGAGGUUUUAUCUGCUGAAGAAGGUGAGCCAAUAGAUCAUGCCCGAGCCGCAGAGGAGGCCCGGGAGAGACUCGAGCUACUAAAGGUUUGACUGACUUCCUUAUGUUAAUUUUAUUAUGCCUAUAGAGCCGUUCAGUU